AUUUAGUCCUUUAUAAUCCUGAGCAACGAUUAUUUACUCCGUUGUUACAGGUUCGCUUUAGGACAAUAUAAAAUUGUUUUAUUAUCCUAGCACCCAAAUUUAUUAAAAUCCUUUUUGUGGUGCUCGAGAAACGUAGAACAACAUUU